UACGUAGGGUGCGAGCGUUAAUCGGAAUUACUGGGCGUAAAGCGUGCGCAGGCGGUUUUGCAAGCCGGAUGUGAAAUCCCCGGGCUUAACCUGGGAAUGGCAUUUGGGACUGCAAGGCUGGAGUGCGGCAGAGGAGACUGGAAUUCCUGGUGUGGCAGUGAAAUGCGUAGAUAUCAGGAGGAACACCGAUGGCGAAGGCAGGUCUCUGGGCUGACACUGACGCUCAUGCACGAAAGCGUGGGGAGCAAACAGG
rnacentral:rRNA from 1 species